GUGCUUGGGAGAAGGUGCCAGUGGGAAGGGGUUAAGACCCUACGCUGGAUUCCAGUGAGAGCAGUUUGUUUCCAUAUUCCCAAUUUUAACAGGCUCGUUUACAAACCACCAGAACAAUCUUGAAAGCCCCCUCCCUACUUUCCAAACCCAAUUUGAAAAAGCAGGGGAGGAGACUUUUGGGAUUGGUGUUGGAGGUUUAUGCAUAAAUUUCAUACAUUUAGACAAGGAGCGCAGAGAGGCCCGUCGAGAGUCCGUCUCUCCCAGGCAUCGGCGUGGAGCAGCACACACAGCAAUAAUGAAUGUAGCAAAGAUUCAUGACAAAUGCUUGAUAAUGAAUUUCUGGGAGCAGAAAAUUGAGCAUCACUCUCAGAUGACCGAGAAUGAAGAGCUGAGGAUGAAAAAGAGCGCUUUGUCCCGGCUGAGGGAAGACUGGAGCUGCAGGCUGGAGAAGAGGACCAAGCACCUGCAGAGCCUCCACGAGGAGCGCAUCAAGAGAGCCAAACUAGUGUAGAUGACAGUAGAACUUUGUCCUACUGCGCCCGUUGACCUACUGUGAAUAAACCCCAUUUACCAC
rnacentral:lncRNA from 1 species